UCAUAUCUUACCUGUUCUCCAACUUCUCCUAUGAAGAAUCCGGUGGACUAACAAGCGCGUUCCAAGUCCCGGAGAAGACUCGACGCUUUAAAGUUCACGUUCUUUUAUUUCGAACUAGGCUACUGCGAACCAUUACUCAGAUUUCCAUCUUUGGAUCCAGUCUUGACAAAUCAGGAAGAUGACUGAUAGACUACAGCAAGUCCAACAGGGUGUAGAGGAGUUGACGUUGAUUAUGGAGAAGAAUGUCAAUAAAGUUGAAGAACGUGGGGACAAGUUAACAGAUCUGGAUGAACGUGCUGAUAAUCUUCUCAAGAGUAGCCUUUCCUUCCAUAAGCAGUCAAAGAAAGUCCUGGUCAAGCAGGAAAAGGAGAAUCGGAAGGGCAAGAUUCGAAUCAUAGCCAUUGUGGUGGUACUGUUCCUGAUAAUCAUCAUAGUGGCCAUCGUCAUGCUCAG